UACAGAGGUCUCAAGCGUUGUUCGGAUUCAUUGGGCGUAAAGGGUGUGUAGGUGGCGCGCUAAGUCGGGUGUGAAAUUUCGGAGCUUAACUCCGAAACUGCAUUCGAUACUGGCGUGCUUGAGGACUGGAGAGGAGACUGGAAUUCAUGGUGUAGCAGUGAAAUGCGUAGAGAUCAUGAGGAAGACCAGUGGCGAAGGCGGGGUCUCUGGACAGUUCCUGACACUGAGACACGAAGGCCAGGGGAGCAAACGGG
rnacentral:rRNA from 1 species